rnacentral:rRNA from 1 species
CCUACGGAGGCAGCAGUGAGGAAUAUUGGUCAAUGGCCGAGAGGCUGAACCAGCCAAGUCGCGUGAGGGAUGACGGCCCUACGGGUUGUAAACCUCUUUUGUCGGGGAGCAAAGAGAGUCACGUGUGGCUCAUUGAGAGUACCCGAAGAAAAAGCAUCGGCUAACUCCGUGCCAGCAGCCGCGGUAAUACGGGGGAUGCGAGCGUUAUCCGGAUUUAUGGGGUUUAAAGGGUGCGCAGGCGGGGGGGCAAGUCAGUGGUCAAAUUGCGGGGCUCAACCCCGUACUGCCGUUGAAACUGCAUCCCUUGAGUGCGCGAGAAGUAUGCGGAAUGCGUGGUGUAGCGGUGAAAUGCAUAGAUAUCACGCAGAACUCCGAUUGCGAAGGCAGCAUACCGGCGCGCAACUGACGCUCAUGCACGAAAGCGUGGGUAUCGAACAGGAUUAGAUACCCCUGUAGUC